AUUGAACGCUGGCGGCAGGCCUAACACAUGCAAGUCGAACGAGCGGCGGACGGGUGAGUAGUGUCUGGGAAACUGCCUGAUGGAGGGGGAUAACUACUGGAAACGGUAGCUAAUACCGCAUACCAUCAGAUGUGCCCAGAUGGGAUUAGUUAGUAGGUGGGGUAACGGCUCACCUAGGCGCCGCUCCCUAGCUGGUCUGAGAGGAUGACCGGCAAACUGGGACUUGAGACACUGUCCAGACUCCGACGGGAGGCAGCAGUGGGGAAUAUUGCACAAUGGGCGCAAGCCUGAUGCAGCCAUGCCGCGUGUAUGAAGAAGGCCUGCGGUUUGUAAAGUACUUUCAGCGGGGAGGCGUUACCCGCAGAAGAAGCACCGGCUAACUCCGUGCCAGCAGCCGCGGUAAUAC
rnacentral:rRNA from 1 species